rnacentral:rRNA from 1 species
UAGGGAAUCUUCCACAAUGGACGCAAGUCUGAUGGAGCAACGCCGCGUGAGUGAAGAAGGUUUUCGGACCGUAAAGCUCUGUUGUUGGUGAAGAAGGAUAGAGGUAGUAACUGGCCUUUAUUUGACGGUAAUCAACCAGAAAGUCACGGCUAACUACGUGCCAGCAGCCGCGGUAAUACGUAGGUGGCAAGCGUUGUCCGGAUUUAUUGGGCGUAAAGCGAGCGCAGGCGGAAGAAUAAGUCUGAUGUGAAAGCCCUCGGCUUAACCGAGGAAUUGCAUCGGAAACUGUUUUCUUGAGUGCAGAAGAGGAGAGUAGAACUCCAUGUGUAGCGGUGGAAUGCGUAGAUAUAUGGAAGAAUACCAGUGGCGAAGGCGGCUCUCUGGUCUGCAACUGACGCUGAGGCUCGAAAGCAUGGUAGCGAACAGGAUUAGAUACCCUGGUAGUCCAUGCCGUAAACGAUGAGUGCUAAGUGUUGGGAGGCUUCCGCCUCUCAGUGCUGCAGCUAACGCAUUAAGCACUCCGCCUGGGGGAGU